rnacentral:tRNA from 1 species
GAUCACCUCCUUAAUCGACGACAUCAGCUGCUCCAUAAGUUCCCACACGAAUUGCUUGAUUCAUUGAAGAAGACGAAAGAAGCAGCCCGAAAUUGGGUCUGUAGCUCAGUUGGUUAGAGCGCACCCCUGAUAAGGGUGAGGUCGGCAGUUCGAAUCUGCCCAGACCCACCAAUUUUGUGUGGGAAACGCCUGUAGAAAUACGGGGCCAUAGCUCAGCUGGGAGAGCGCCUGCCUUGCACGCAGGAGGUCAGCGGUUCGAUCCCGCUUGGCUCCACCACUACUGCUUCUGAAGUAAGAGCUUAGAAAUGAGCAUUCCAUUGUUGUGAUGGUGAAUGUUGAUUUCUAGUCUUUGACUGGUUCGUUCUUUAAAAAUUUGGGUAUGUGAUAGAAAGAUAGACUGAUGGCCACUUUCACUGGUGGUGAUCAGGCUAAGGUAAAAUUUGUGAGUUCUCUUAGUUGAGAAAUUCGAAUUUUCGGCGAAUGUCGUCUUCACAGUAUAACCAGAUGCAA